GGUGAAGGGCUGCUACAGUCAUCCAAACGAGGGGACAGAGAACACAGCCCUGAGGGACGGCUGUCAGGAUUGUGUUUUUCAAUCCCAGACAUUUUAUGGCCAUUGGAAUACGCGCCACCAGUAUGCAGCGGCUGGGUUCUGAUGGGAAGGGUUUUAUUGGGAAGUGGUUUGAUGGCUAACGUUCCCCAGUGGUUUGGGAAUUGAUGCCGUCCUGCAGGAUCGUCAGGAGACGCAGAGGACGUGGGAGCACUACACGGCGCAGAGUUUGAGCAUUCUAGCGGGGAUGCCAAUUUUCACUCUCCUCCCUUGUUCUCCUGUUCUCUCCUCCUCUCAUCACUAUGUCUAUUUCUCCCCCCGCUGUCAAGUCCUUCUGCAUAUUUCUUUAGCGUUUUGACUUUGAACCCCACAGCAUUAACCUGUCAGGGAAGUUACAAAUGUUCUGAGUGAAUUAUGUAAACUACAGAGACAUAAAACUGCAAAAAGCAUGGAGUUCUCACUUCAUUUCAUAAUUCAUCAUGCCCACAGAUUGAGGAAAAUAAAACUGGACUGAUUAGGUAGUCUGGCACAUUCUGGCUCAAAAUCUUCUAAAAUAUGCUUGAGAAUAUUAAUCACACUUUGUCUACCUCGCAAAUAAAAAAUCAAACACACGUACCCAUAGACGGAGAGCUUUUUUUAUUGUGAUUUCAUUACUCAAAUCGAAUGAGAGCAACGUCUCCAACAUUUUUUUUGGCCAGAAUUCAUUGCAUGAAGCAAAAGCAAUAGAUGUCACACCAGCACCACCAAAAGGCCGAGCGGAAAACAACAGCACGCUCGCACACAGCACUGAUUAAGGAUGCUUCGCCUUGGCAGACGGUCGAGAACAUCAACAUAAGCAGUCCAGCAUCGGAGUGCUUCCUCUCCUCCAGGGAACGUGUGACAGGAAAAGUAAAUAACGGCUCCGGAGGCCGUCGGCUGGUCAAAACAAGGCGCAGAGCUGGGGCCUGCACGCCGGAAACGCACACGCACUGCACGUGCACCUCCUGCUGGCAGGGUAAUAGCCAUCGCUGCAGGAGCGUAGUGCGGCCUUCGUUGGAUGGGAAAUCCGAACGGACUCCACGGCCCUCUCCAAGUCCGGCAGGAUGUCAGGCACGACAGCUUGCUCGGCUACAAAGAUUAUCGUCUCCAGGACUAACAGCAGGACCCAGCCUAAAGCUCCGAGCCAAUAGGAGGAGCCGAGGCUGGAAAAGUCUUGGCGUAUUUCUUCCCGGUGCUGAUGGCAGUGCAGUGGUGUUACCUGUGGAGGCCAUGGUGAGCAACAGGAGCGUUGAGGGGUAGAGGGCCUGUCCUGCCAUGAGGAGGGAGCGCGUGUUGGAGUAGGAGUGCACCGUCUCAGAUCUCCAGCAGAGGGCGAACACCAGACACAAAGCACCA
ensembl:lncRNA